rnacentral:lncRNA from 1 species
UCUUAUCAGAUUUUAUUCUACACAUUUCUUCUCUCUCUUACAAACAAAGCCCACGAUUUUCUCCCCUUUUUUAAUUACCCUACCCCCACGUUUGUUUACCAAAACCGAUUUCUCUCUCUGUCUGCUUGAAUUUCAUCCGCCAUUGUCGAAGGUUGCAUUGUUUCAGAUCGAGAAGUUCUUCUCAAUCCACCAUAGUUUCAGUCCUACGGUUGUAUCAAAGUCAG